GCCGGGGUAGCUCAAUCGUAAGCACCACCAUCAGUUACGAUAUCUUCGAAUCAAUGAUUCUAACAAUCUUCCAGGGUAGAGCGUGUGGCUCUUAACCUCAAGGUCGCGGGUUCGAGCCCCGCCUUCGGCU
rnacentral:tRNA from 1 species